CACUUUGCCCUCCCUGCCCACUCCCCUUUUUAAUCGACCCCAGGAAAGGCAGCAGCCCUAAGCUUGCCCAACUGGGCAGAGGGAUCCUCCUCCUGGCAUCACUGCUGAUUUUUACCAUCCUGGGCCUGGGGGAUGUGCUCUGCCCCUCCUGCUGCUGUGGCUCCUGCUCUGCUGAAGACCUGGGAAGGCUGUGAGGAUGAGAGACAACCCUGCCCCAGACUGCAGUGGCUGCUGACCACCCGAUGACUGCCACAGAAGCCCUCUCUGGUGCCUGUGGGCCCUCUCAGGCAGCGUGCUCGAUCUGGACUGACCAAGCAGCACAGCCACAUUGCAUCAUUACCACCUGAAGUCUACCACCUAGCUGUCACUAGAUCUAUUUUCCUGCUUAUGCUUUUGGAGAGCAAAUAUUGAGGCUUUUGACCAGUGAGUAGCUGAACUCUCUUUACUCAACUUUGUAAAUGUGUGUGUGCUCGACCUUUCAGCAGCAGUUUGUGCUGCAAGGCUCUCCACUUAGAAACCUUUCUAAAGGUUUUUCCCAAGUCAUUUAAUUUGACUCCAUACAUUCUGCAGAACAGUUUUACCAACCCCAUCAUAGAAUCUGUCUGUAUUAGUUGUAAGUAAGUUUGGGGAAGUUUUCUUUGUGUAAUUAAUAAACUAUUUAAUGAUUAUUUUUA